GAUGAAGAACGCAGCGAAAUGCGAUACGUAAUGUGAAUUGCAGAUUUCAGUGAAUCAUCGAAUCUUUGAACGCACAUUGCGCCCCCUGGUAUUCCGGGGGGCAUGCCUGUCCGAGCGUCAUUGCUGCCCUCAAGCCCGGCUUGUGUGUUGGGUCUCGUCCCCCUUCCCGGGGGGACGGGCCCGAAAGGCAGCGGCGGCACCGCGUCCGGUCCUCGAGCGUAUGGGGCUUUGUCACCCGCUCUGUAGGCCCGGCCGGCGCUUGCCGAUCAACCAAAACUUUUUUCCAGGUUGACCUCGGAUCAGGUAGGGAUACCCGCUGAACUUAAGCAUAUCAAUAAGCGGAGGA
rnacentral:misc_RNA from 1 species